AGUGAAUGCUGGCGGUAGGCCAAACACAUGCAAGUCGAACGGCAGCACAGGAGAGCUUGCUCUCUGGGUGGCGAGUGGCGGACGGGUGAGGAAUACAUCGGAAUCUACUUUUUCGUGGGGGAUAACGUAGGGAAACUUACGCUAAUACCGCAUACGACCUACGGGUGAAAGCAGGGGACCUUCGGGCCUUGCGCGAUUGAAUGAGCCGAUGUCGGAUUAGCUAGUUGGCGGGGUAAAGGCCCACCAAGGCGACGAUCCGUAGCUGGUCUGAGAGGAUAAUCAGCAACACUGGAACUGAGACACGGUCCAGACUCCUACGGGAGGCAGCAGUGGGGAAUAUUGGACAAUGGGCGCAAGCCUGAUCCAGCCAUACCGCGUGGGUGAAGAAGGCCUUCGGGUUGUAAAGCCCUUUUGUUGGGAAAGGAAUCCAGCUGGCUAAUACCCGGUUGGGAUGACGGUACCCAAAGAAUAAGCACCGGCUAACUUCGUGCCAGCCGCCGCCGUAA
rnacentral:rRNA from 1 species